CGCUCCUGCCUGCUUAGCAGGGAAGGGAGCCUAAGGUUGGUUCUGCGACCUUCCCGACCCGUCCUCACCACCCCAGGAUGUUCCAGACGGUCCCCGACACGUCGUCUUACGUCAAGUUCCCAAGAACGUAAACAAAACGAGGCCAGGGCAUCUGGGUUACACGUUUAAUGAAAAUCGGCCAGCGAGGCGGGGCCGAGGGUGCGGAACGGG